UACGGAGGGGCUAGCGUUGUUCGGAAUUACUGGGCGUAAAGCGCGCGUAGGCGGCUUUGUAAGUUAGAGGUGAAAGCCCGGAGCUCAACUCCGGAAUUGCCUUUAAGACUGCAUCGCUAGAAUUGUGGAGAGGUAAGUGGAAUUCCGAGUGUAGAGGUGAAACUCGUAGAUAUUCGGAAGAACACCAGUGGCGAAGGCGACUUACUGGACACAUAUUGACGCUGAGGUGCGAAAGCGUGGGGAGCAAACAGG
rnacentral:rRNA from 1 species